CUCAGUAACACGUGGAUAACCUACCCUUAGGACUGGAAUAACCCCGGGAAACUGGGGAUAAUACCGGAUAGAUCAGGGAUGCUGGAAUGCACCUUGAUCCAAAGCCCCGGCGCCUAAGGAUGGGUCUGCGGCCUAUCAGGUUGUAGUGGGUGUAACGUACCUACUAGCCAACGACGGGUACGGGUUGUGAGAGCAAGAGCCCGGAGAUGGAUUCUGAGACACGAAUCCAGGCCCUACGGGGUGCAGCAGGCGCGGAACCUUUACAAUGUGCGAAAGCAUGAUAAGGGGACUCCGAGUGCCAGCAUCUAAUGCUGGCUGUCCUUGUGCCUAAAAAGCACAAGAUAGCAAGGGCCGGGUAAGACCGGUGCCAGCCGCCGCGGUAACACCGGCGGCCCGAGUGGUAGCCGCUAUUAUUGGGUCUAAAGGGUCCGUAGCCGGUUCGGUAAGUCCUUUGGGAAAUCUGGUUGCUUAACAAUCAGACUGCCAAGGGAUACUGCUGAACUUGAGACCGGGAGAGGUAAGAGGUACUUCAGGGGUAGGAGUGAAAUCUUGUGAUCCCUGGGGGACCAUCUGUGGCGAAGGCGUCUUACCAGAACGGGUCUGACGGUGAGGGACGAAAGCUGGGGGCGCAAACCGGAUUAGAUACCCGGGUAGUCCCAGCCGUAAACGAUGCUCGCUAUGUGUCAGGUACGGUGCGACCGUAUCUGGUGCCGUAGGGAAGCCGUGAAGCGGCCACCUGGGAAGUACGGUCGCAAGACUGAAACUAAAG
rnacentral:rRNA from 1 species